UAGGGAAUAUUGGACAAUGGGCGCAAGCCUGAUCCAGCCAUGCCGCGUGAGUGAAGAAGGCCCUCGGGUUGUAAAGCUCUUUUGUCCGGAAAGAAAAGCAUCGGGCUAAUACCCUGGUGUUCUGACGGUACCGGAAGAAUAAGCACCGGCUAACUUCGUGCCAGCAGCCGCGGUAAUACGAAGGGUGCAAGCGUUACUCGGAAUUACUGGGCGUAAAGCGUGCGUAGGUGGUUUGUUAAGUCUGAUGUGAAAGCCCUGGGCUCAACCUGGGAAUGGCAUUGGAAACUGGCGGACUCGAGUGCGGUAGAGGGGUGUGGAAUUCCCGGUGUAGCAGUGAAAUGCGUAGAGAUCGGGAGGAACACCAGUGGGCGAAGGCGACACCCUGGACCAGCACUGACACUGAGGCACGAAAGCGUGGGGAGCAAACAGGAUUAGAUACCCUGGUAGUCCACGCCCUAAACGAUGCGACUGGAUGUUGGGUGCAACUUGGCACUCAGUAUCGAAGCUAACGCGUUAAGUUCGCCGCCUGGGGAGUACGGUCGCAAGACUGAAACUCAAAGGAAUUGACGGGGUCAUAGC
rnacentral:rRNA from 1 species